GGCUCGGUAGCGGAGGGUCCGCAUCUGCUCUCCAUUUGCAUUGGGAAUAUUUCUAUAUACAGCAGACAAACCCUGUUCGAUUCAGGCCCGAGCCA